AGGCUUAUACGGCAAGGUGCUCUUAGCAGCUGAGACAACUGCUGGCUCAGUGACCUAGCAGAUCCUGGAUUUCACAGUAUGGAUUGUGAAUUCAUUCUGAAAGUUCUGUGACAUAGUGUUGCUAUGGUUAUGUGAUCAUAUUAUGAGGCUUCGGUUCUGAAUUUCAGUGUGAUGUGAGACUUCUCAACAUACACUUGGGAUAGUGCAGAAUUGUAUAUUUUGGUUUGAUAGAGACUUCACAAUGGGAAGCAGAUGCUCUUGUAAAGUUCUUCCAACUGACCUCCAGAAAAAGGCCUCAGAAGGUGAGGAGGCAAAGUCACCUGAGGUGGCACCAAGGAAGAAAAGAACUUCUCUGAUGAGAAGACUAAAUUUUAAGAAAAAAAUGCUGUGACACAGUGCUAUAGUUUCAGUAGAACAUCAAAAUGAAGAAAUCUGCAGCACUUUUUUGAAGACCAAAUGAAGACCUUACAAGAAGAGGAGGCAGAGCCACCACUCAUUAAGGUCCAGUUGGAAAAAGAAUGAAGAUCCUGUUUGUAUUCUGUAAUGAUUCCUAUAAUAUAUUUUAUAUAAGAA